UACGUAGGGGGCAAGCGUUGUCCGGAAUCAUUGGGCGUAAAGCGCGUGUAGGCGGCUUGGUAAGUCUGCUCUGAAAUCCCCGGGCUCAACCCGGGAACUGCGUCCGAUACUGGAAGGCUUGAAUCCGGGAGAGGGAUGCGGAAUUCCAGGUGUAGCGGUGAAAUGCGUAGAUAUCUGGAGGAACACCGGUGGCGAAGGCGGCAUCCUGGACCGGCAUUGACGCUGAGGCGCGAAAGCCAGGGGAGCAAACGGG
rnacentral:rRNA from 1 species